UACGGAGGGGGCUAGCGUUGUUCGGAAUUACUGGGCGUAAAGCGCGCGUAGGCGGACCUGCAAGUCGGGGGUGAAAGCCCGAGGCUCAACCUCGGAACUGCCUUCGAUACUGCGGGUCUCGAGUCCGGGAGAGGUGAGUGGAAUUCCCAGUGUAGCGGUGAAAUGCGUAGAUAUUGGGAGGAACACCAGUGGCGAAGGCGGCUCACUGGACCGGUACUGACGCUGAGGCGCGAAAGCGUGGGGAGCGAACAGG
rnacentral:rRNA from 1 species